GAUGAACGCUGGCGGCGUGCCUAAUACAUGCAAGUCGAGCGAACGGACGAGAAGCUUGCUUCUCUGAUGUUAGCGGCGGACGGGUGAGUAACACGUGGAUAACCUACCUAUAAGACUGGGAUAACUUCGGGAAACCGGAGCUAAUACCAGAUAAUAUUUUGAACCGCAUGGUUCAAAAGUGAAAGACGGUCUUGCUGUCACUUAUAGAUGGAUCCGCGCUGCAUUAGCUAGUUGGUAAGGUAACGGCUUACCAAGGCAACGAUGCAUAGCCGACCUGAGAGGGUGAUCGGCCACGCUGGAACUGAGACACGGUCCAGACUCCUACGGGAGGCAGCAGUAGGGAAUCUUCCGCAAUGGGCGAAAGCCUGACGGAGCAACGCCGCGUGAGUGAUGAAGGUCUUCGGAUCGUAAAACUCUGUUAUUAGGGAAGAACAUAUGUGUAAGUAACUGUGCACAUCUUGACGGUACCUAAUCAGAAAGCCACGGCUAACUACGUG
rnacentral:rRNA from 1 species